AAUCAAGUGGGAUGACAUCUUUGGCAAAUUUGGUUUCGCAGUAAAUACAUUCAAAUAUUAAGACAACACACGACACGAAGAGAAAAACACCAAGAUUUUUUUACUACUAGAAAAUUCAAUAAAAAACAUACACAUUCCUUAAAGAAGCAGUUCAGUCUUGUUGCAAAUAACUAUUUCCUUCACCUUUCUAUUAUGUAGGUUAUUUCAUAUCUUGUUUUAUUAUGUUUUUACCAAAGAAUACUUUUCAAACCGGGCAUCUCUAACCUUCACUCUAAAAAUGGCUGGGUUAUUUUUUAACCCAAAAUGCUGGGUUGAGUCUGUUGGGUUGUUUUGCUGGGUUAAUUUUUAACAUUUUAAACACUUUUUGGGUAGUUUCAGUUUUCUGGUUGUUGGGUUAAAACUGCUGGGUUAUUAUACUGGGUUGUUUGAAGAGGCUCACGUGCUUCGCGCCUUUGAUGUUUGAAUGUGCUCAGCAACGGUCGUCGUGAAAGGACAGAGUCACUGGAAGCAGUUGUUUCAAGAGAGUGCAGAGUUUUUAUGUCCAUCCAUUAAUGAGGCUAGCAAGGCCUUCAUACAACUUCAGCCAAUUGCAACAAAUGUGGUGGAAGUUCUUCUCUGGACAGAAUCCUCGAAAUCCUUUCCUUUAUUUCCUGGCCAUGGGAAACAUGCAACAGAUCUCUCAAUCUUUUUUGUCUAUCAGUCUCUCUGAUGGAGCCAAUACGGAAGUGACUUAAACUGCAAUUCGGCCAAGAUGGCGACGGCACGCACCGCCUACUUUAGGCUUCAAAAAUGCUCUUCACAACCAAUGGGUGACAUCACGGACACUACUUUCAUAUUUUUUUACAGUCUAUGGUUUAAAGGCAUUUUACGUGCUUGAAAAUAAAUACCCCAGGCAAUGUGCAUCUACUGUAGUCUGUCAUUUUCCAAAUGGAUGAAUCCUCUGCUGUUCGGUUCCUUUGUACAUCUUUGUUCGUGAGGAGUAACUUUAAUAAAUGAAGUAUUUUUAGUCAAAUACAUUCCAUACUCUGAAACUUGGAACAUCUGUUCUGUAAAAAACUUUACACAUCUGUAAAUGAUUUUACUUUUAAUUUAACAAUUACAUUGUUUAUUUUCUUACACUGCUGCAGUUUUAUUUAUGUACAUUUCAGUAUUUCAUUUAUAUAUUGUAUAUACUUAUAUACAAAUUCUGUCUUAAAUUUAAACAAGUUGAUUUAACCUGUUACAUUGUUACUUCAAUGUGCAUCAUUUCUGAUAUUUAAUAAAUAUAUUUAUACUUGAUGUCAGUAAGCAGCAGUCCUUUAAAUGAUUCUGCAACUGCCAACUGUAAAAAUUUAAGAGUUUGUAGUUAUUU